CAGCAGACACAUUCCAGCCAAUCAGCAGCAGACCCUCCCUCCCAGACCCCCCCACCUCCUGGACAGCAUCCAUUUUACAUUCAUUGUGAAGCUGCAUUCUUAGUGAGCUGUCCAGGAGGUGGGAGAGUCUGGGAGGGAGGGUCUGCUGCUGAUUGGCUGGAAUGUGUCUGCUG
rnacentral:miRNA from 1 species